AAGGGUCUUGGAUUAAAACCAAAAGUAUUAAGUAAAUAGGUCAAAUUAGGAAAAAAAAAUAGAAAUCGAUAAAUUCCAAAUUGAUAGGCAGGAUUAAGCUAGAAUUGGCCCAUUACUGGGUAUUGGAUCGAGCCUGAGAUGAAACAAUUACAAACCCGUUAUAAUUCCGCAAAAGAUGGAUUCCUCUCAAUUGCCGGAUUUGCCGCUGCUAUUUCUAUAUAUUGUCGCCCUUUCAUCGCCUUCCCUCCCCAACCCUACCCUUCCUGCCUUCGACUCGCCCGCAGCCGAUCUCUCGCUUCUUCGUCUUCGUCUCCUUGUUCUUCGUCCUUCAUGGAGGAUACGCCGUCUAAGAAGCGAAGAGUUUCCGAUGCUCCCCCUCCUUCCUUCUACAAGACACGGUUGCCUUCCUUUUCCAUGGAACCUCCGCUGCCUAAGAAGCGUAGAGUCUCCGAUGUUCACCCUCCUUCCUUCUACAAGGCACGGUUGUGCCUCGAGUUUAUCUCCACCGGCUGCUGCCCCUAUGGUGACGCUUGCAUCAACGCGCACGGGAGAGACGAUGGAUUCCGUUGCUCGAAGAACUCUGGCAGAUUUGGUGCCGUCGCCAUGGAGCAUUGGCAGGAUUCGACGCUCAGGGUGGAGGGGAACUAGGGUCGCUUCACUCACGGUAAGCUUUUGUCUGACCUUCUAUCUUAGGGUUUUCGUCCAUCACUUUGCGUGCUAUGUUAUGACUUGCUUAGAUGGUGAAUAAGAGAGAUUUACAUUUUCUUAAUCUAUGUUUCCUUAAUCAAUGAAUAGAUUUCCUGAUUCUUUGUUUUUUGCUAUCUGUUACUCUUCGUUUCUUUUUUUAAGAAGAAUGACAUUGUCGUUGUUGGUUUGUUUCUAGGGUUUCUUUCUUUUUGAGUAGAAUAACAUUUUCUUUGUUAGUUUGUUUCUAGGGCAUCUUUCUUUUUGAGUGGAACAACAUUGUCUUUGUUAGUAUGUUUCUGGGGAUCAUUGUCUUGUGCUCAUAAACCUAACAAUCUGAAUUGCGAAAGAAUGAAGGAAAGAGCAGAAUCAAGAAAAUGCAUAGGAAGUACAAGUAGUCAGCCUUGUAGAAUGAAGAUUUAACCGUUUGAGGAAAACGCCCAUCAUGUUUCAACUUGGCAACAAGGGAGGAAGAGGCAGAUACACAAAGCCAAAUGAGUAAUUUCUUGAGCAUUUACUCAUCCAUGCCUAUGUUAUUUUUAAAUGAUUUCACGUUCAAAUCCCUAACUUUUAUCCCACUUGAACCGAGAGAUUUGAAAAUCUUACAGUGAAUGUGUUAGCAGGCACUUGCUUCCUUAUUUGUCACCAGUGCCAGGCAACAAAGAUGGCUGUAUUGACUCCAAUGUUCUAUAAUGGCCUCUAGACCAUUCAUCUUCAUCAAGAGACAGCGAGUACUUAGAUUUCUUCCUUAUAUUGUUAUAUCAUCUUCACCAAAUGGUAACAAAUACUUAUCUUUCUUCGUUAUAUCACUCUAACCUUCUUUAGCUCUUCUCAUCUUCUCCAAUGGGUAUUUUAACCACAAGAUAUUAUUCCUAUAUGAAUAGGAGAGAAGUCAUGUCACAUUCCUUUUUUUUCUUGCUUAUUUUCUUACUCGUUCAGCUAUAUUUUGACUAGUUACAAUUUGAUGAACUGCUUGCGCUUACUAUGUCAUGUUGUGUAUUCACCCUACCAUUUGUUUAUCUUUUCUUAAAUGGUUGUAUAAUUUAAAGUCAAUAAACAUGUAGAAAGGAGCUUUGUGCACUAUAUUUCCCUUUAAAAAAGGGCAAUCUGGUGCACGAUCCAUUGUACGCAGCUUUACCUUGCUUUUUGCAAGAGGUUGUUUCCAGGAUUCGAACCCGUGACCUUUUGGUCACAAAGCAACAACUUUAUCGUUGCGCCAAGGCUCCCCUUCUAUGUUUCCCUUUAAACAUGUAGAAAAUCAAAUUUUCAAAAUUGAACGACUACAAUGCAUAUACAGUAGUUGCUGGUAGAGUUUUUUAGGUUACAUUGGUGUAUUUUUCUAAACCUGCAUCAGACAUGGUGGUAUGUAAGGGAGGAGCUGUUGCCAAUUAAUAAUUGAAUAAUAGGUCGCAUAAUUCUGUUUUUUUUUUUCCAAUGAAAUUUUCUCCUCUAUCUCAUUCUUGUUGCAUUUAUUUAAGUAAUUUUAAGUGUGGAUGGGCACCUUUAGUAAAUACCAUGGAGUCAUUGCCUCUAUCACAUGACAGAAUGGCUGAACAACUAUUGAAAGGAGCAUGGAAAAGCAUGUAUGCAGAAUCUGAAAAUUGAGUGGUUGAAGAAGUGGGAGUUCCAAUGUUGAAGCUGCUACCGCUAGUGAAUAUUCCGUGGAGAUGACGAAUUCUGGAGCAGCUCAUGGAUGCGCUAUAUCCUCGUGUGACUCUUCUUUGCAGCAUAAGAGACUGAGUGAUUCCAUGGCAUUAAUUGCUAACUAGUUCUGAGUGGCUAAUAAGCCAUGACUGAAUCUUCCACGUCAACCUAUUGUAAAUAACUAGUCAUUCAUUUGUUUCGUUGAAAAGUAAUAAUCAUGAAUUGGUUCUGCACAGACCUUUGUCGGUUGUUGUACCUAUUUAAUUAGUUUUUUUGAGCUC